rnacentral:rRNA from 1 species
AACGAACGUUGGCGGCGUGGAUUAGGCAUGCAAGUCGAGCGAAUCCCAGCAAUGGGGGAAGCGGCGAAAGGGGCAGUAAGGCAUGGGUAACCUACCCUGGGGACUGGGAUAGCCCUUCGAGAGAAGGGGUAAUACCGGGCGACGUGUCGGGCCGGCAUCGGUCUGCCACCAAAUGAAUUUCGCCCUGGGAGGGGCCCAUGUGAUAUUAGCUAGUUGGUGAGGUAACGGCUCACCAAGGCGAAGAUGUCUAGCGGGUGUGAGAGCACGACCCGCGCCACUGGAACUGAGACACUGGCCAGACACCUACGGGUGGCUGCAGUCGAGGAUCUUCGGCAAUGGGCGCAAGCCUGACCGAGCGACGCCGCGUGUGCGAUGAAGGCCUUCGGGUUGUAAAGCACUGUCGAGAGGGAGAAAAGCGAAAGCUUGAUCUAUCUCUGGAGGAAGCACGGGCUAAGUUCGUGCCAGCAGCCGCCGUAAGAC